rnacentral:rRNA from 3 species
ACCUCAAAUCGGGUAGGACUACCCGCUGAACUUAAGCAUAUCAAUAAGCGGAGGAAAAGAAACUAACAAGGAUUCCCCUAGUAACUGCGAGUGAAGAGGGAUAAGCUCAAAUUUAAAAUCUGGCGGUCUUUGGCCGUCCGAGUUGUAAUUUAGAGAAGUGUUACCCGCGCUGGACCGUGUACAAGUCUCCUCGAACGGAGCAUCAUAGAGGGUGAGAAUCCCGUACAUGACACGGACUGCCAGGGCUUUGUGGUGCGCUCUCGACGAGUCGAGUUGUUUGGGAAUGCAGCUCAAAAUGGGUGGUAAAUUCCAUCUAAAGCUAAAUACAGGCGAGAGACCGAUAGCGAACAAGUACCGUGAGGGAAAGAUGAAAAGAACUUUGGAAAGAGAGUUAAACAGUACGUGAAAUUGUUGAAAGGGAAACGCUUGAAGUCAGUCGCGUCCUUCAAAGAUCAACCUGGCCUUUUCGCUUGGUGCACUCUUUGGAGGACGGGUCAGCAUCAGUUUCGACCGGGAGAAAAAGUUGGUGGGGAGGUGGCACCUUCGGGUGUGUUAUAACCC